rnacentral:rRNA from 1 species
CGCGUGUACUGGUCCGGCCGGGCCUUUCCUUCUGGAGAUCCCCAUGCCCUUCACUGGGUGUGUGGGGGAACCAGGACUUUUACUUUGAAAAAAUUAGAGUGUUCAAAGCAGGCCUUUGCUCGAAUACGUUAGCAUGGAAUAAUAGAAUAGGACGUGCGGUCCUAUUUUGUUGGUUUCUAGGACCGCUGUAAUGAUUAAUAGGGAUAGUCGGGGGCAUCAGUAUUCAAUUGUCAGAGGUGAAAUUCUUGGAUUUAUUGAAGACUAACUACUGCGAAAGCAUUUGCCAAGGAUGUUUUCAUUAAUCAGUGAACGAAAGUUAGGGGAUCGAAGACGAUCAUAUACCGUCGUACUCUUAACCGUAAACUAUGCCGACUAGGGAUCGGGCGAUGUUUCUUUCUUGACUCGCUCGGCACCUUACGAGAAAUCAAAGUUUUUGGGUUUUGGGGGAGAGUAUGGUCGCAAGGCUGAAACUUAAAGAAAUUGAGGGAAGGGGCACCACCAGGGCGUGGAGCCUGCGGCUUAAUUUGACUCAACACGGGGAAACUCACCAGGUCCAGAUGAAAUAAGGAUUGACAGAUUGAGAGCUCUUUCUUGAUUUUUCAGGUGGUGGUGCAUGGCCGUUCUUAGUUGGUGGAGUGAUUUGUCGGCUUAAUUGCGAUAACGAACGAGACCUCAACCUCCUAAAUAGCCAGCCUAGCUUUGGCUGGUCGCCGGCUUCUUAGAGGGACGAUCGG